CUGCUCAGUAACACGUAGUUAACCUAACCUAUGGACGGGGAUAACCUCGGGAAACUGAGAAUAAUCCCCGAUAGAUCACGGUGCCUGGAAUGGCCCGUGGUCCAAAUGAUUUAUCGCCGUAGGAUGGGACUGCGGCCUAUCAGCUAGUUGGUGAGGUAAUGGCCCACCAAGGCUAUAACAGGUACGGGCUCGGAGAGGAGGGGCCCGGGGAUGGGUACUGAGACACGGACCCAGGCCCUAUGGGGCGCAGCAGGCGAGAAACCUUUGCAAUGUGCGAAAGCACGACAAGGUUAAUCCGAGUGUCUCCUGCUAAAGGAGUCUUUUGCCGGUCAUAGAACCACCGGUGAAUAAGGGGUGGGCAAGUUCUGGUGUCAGCCGCCGCGGUAAAACCAGCACCUCGAGUGGUCAGGAGGUUUAUUGGGCCUAAAGCAUCCGUAGCCGGCUGCUCAAGUUUUCGGUUAAAUCUAUGCGCUCAACGUAUAGGCCGCCGAAAAUACUGGGCAGCUAGGGAGUGGGAGAGGUACACGGUACUCAAUAGGAAGGGGUAAAAUCCUUUGAUCUAUUGAUGACCACCUGUGGCGAAGGCGGUGUACCAGAACACGUUCGACGGUGAGGGAUGAAAGCUGGGGGAGCAAACCGGAUUAGAUACCCGGGUAGUCCCAGCUGUAAACGAUGCAGACUCGGUGAUGCAUUGGCUUGUGGCCAAUGCAGUGCCGCAGGGAAGCCGUUAAGUCUGCCGCCUGGGAAGUACGUACGCAAGUAUGAAACUUAAAGGAAUUGGCGGGGGAGCACCACANGGGGUGAAGCCUGCGGUUCAAUUGGAGUCAACGCCAGAAAUCUUACCUGGGGCGACAGCAGAAUG
rnacentral:rRNA from 1 species